GUGCUUUGGCAGCACAUUUACUAAACUUGGAAGAUACAGAGAUUAGCAUGGCCCCUGAGCAAGGAUGACAUGCAAAUUAGUGAAGCAUCCAUAGUAAAA
rnacentral:snRNA from 1 species